GAAAUGCGAUAAGUAAUGUGAAUUGCAGAAUUCAGUGAAUCAUCGAAUCUUUGAACGCACAUUGCGCCCACUGGUAUUCCGGUGGGCAUGCCUGUUCGAGCGUCAUUAUCCUCCCUCAAACCCCGGGUUUGGUGUUGGACCCAAGUUGUGCAUCUGAACAACUGGUCUCAAAGACAAUGACGGCGUCCGUGGGACCCUCGGUGCAACGAGCUUCUAGGAGCACGCGUCGAGUUUCAAGGUCCUUCCGGGCCGGUCUCCUUUUUACUUUUUACAAGGUUGACCUCGGAUCAGGUAGGAAUACCCGCUGAACUUAA
rnacentral:misc_RNA from 1 species